rnacentral:rRNA from 1 species
GUCUUUCGGUUCCUGGGGUAGUAUGGUUGCAAAGCUGAAACUUAAAGAAAUUGACGGAAUGGCACCACCAGGAGUGGAGCCUGCGGCUUAAUUUGACUCAACACGGGAAAACUCACCCGGCCCGGACACCGCAAGGAUUGACAGAUUGAAAGCUCUUUCUCGAUUUGGUGGUUGGUGGUGCAUGGCCGUUCUUAGUUGGUGGAGCGAUUUGUCUGGUUUAUUCCGAUAACGAGCGAGACUCUAGCCUGCUAAAUAGUGGCUGGAUUUUUAAGUCCAGUCUACUUCUUAGAGGGAUAAGCGGUGUUUAGCCGCACGAGAUUGAGCGAUAACAGGUCUGUGAUGCCCUUAGAUGUCCGGGGCUGCACGCGCGCUACAAUGGAAGAAUCAGCUGGCCUAUCCAUUGCCGAAAGGCAUUGGUAAACCGUUGAAACUCUUCCCGUGACCGGGAUAGGGAAUUGUAAUUAUUUCCCUUGAACGAGGAAUUCCUUAGUAAGUGGGAGUCAUCAGCUCACGCUG